AAUGAUGAGCCUGAUUAAAGGACUAUCGUGAUAGGAUAAAACAUGUAGUAAAUCCUACCUUCAUUA
rnacentral:tRNA from 2 species